rnacentral:rRNA from 1 species
CAACUUUUGACAAUGGAUCUCUUGGUUCUCGCAACGAUGAAGAACGCAGCAAAAUGCGAUAAGUAGUGUGAAUUGCAGAAUACGUGAAUCAUCGAAUCUUCGGGGCAUAUUGCACA